UUUAGACAAUCUUCCCUCGAGUGGGAAACAACCUGGCGAAAGUCGGGCUAAUGUCCCAUAAGACCACAUUCUGGCAUCAGAGAGAGGUCAAAGGUCCGCAAGGGCCGCUGGAGGAGGAGUCUAAAUCCUAUCAUGGUAGUUGGUGAGGUAACGGCUCACCAAGCCUACGACGGGUAGCCGGCCUGAAAGGGUGAUCGGCCACACUGGCACUGAGACACGGGCCAG
rnacentral:rRNA from 1 species